GACGAACGCUGGCGGCGUGCUUAACACAUGCAAGUCGAACGGAAAGGCCCUGCUUUUGUGGGGUGCUCGAGUGGCGAACGGGUGAGUAACACGUGAGUAACCUGCCCUUGACUUUGGGAUAACUUCAGGAAACUGGGGCUAAUACCGGAUAGGAGCUCCUGCUGCAUGGUGGGGGUUGGAAAGUUUCGGCGGUUGGGGAUGGACUCGCGGCUUAUCAGCUUGUUGGUGGGGGAGGGGCUUACCAAGGCUUUGACGGGUAGCCGGCCUGAGAGGGUGACCGGCCACAUUGGGCCUGCGAUACGGCCCAGACUCCUACGGGAGGCAGCAGUGGGGAAUCUUGCACAAUGGGCGGAAGCCUGAUGCAGCAACGCCGCGUGCGGGAUGACGGCCUUCGGGUUGUAAACCGCUUUCGCCUGUGACGAAGCGUGAGUGACGGUAAUGGGUAAAGAAGCACCGGCUAACUACGUG
rnacentral:rRNA from 1 species